GGGAAAAUAGUUAAAUAUAACAUUUAUUUUGCAAAUAAAAAGUAUUGAAAAUCAAUUUUUCUCA
rnacentral:tRNA from 1 species